rnacentral:rRNA from 1 species
GUGAGGAAUUUUCCGCAAUGGGCGAAAGCCUGACGGAGCAAUGCCGCGUGAAGGAUGAAGGCCUAUGGGUUGUAAACUUCUUUUCUCAGAAAAGAAUUAUGACGGUAUCUGAGGAAUAAGCAUCGGCUAACUCUGUGCCAGCAGCCGCGGUAAGACAGAGGAUGCAAGAGUUAUCCGGAAUGAUUGGGCGUAAAGCGUCUGUAGGUUGUUUAAAAAGUAUUCUGUCAAAGAUUAGGGCUUAAACCUAGAUAGGAAGAAUAAACUUUUAAGCUAGAGUUUGGUAGAGGCAGAGGGAAUUCCCGGUGGAGCGGUGAAAUGCGUAGAUAUCGGGAGGAACACCAAAGGCGAAGGCACUCUGCUGGGCCAAUACUAACACUGAGAGACGAAAGCGAGGGGAGCAAAUGGGAUUAGAUACCCGAGUAGUCC